rnacentral:lncRNA from 7 species
AAGCAGGAUGCUCCAUUCACACACAGAGGACCCUGUAAGGCUGAAAGCACAUGAAACCUGAUUAAACGAUGCUUCUAAUUAGAGGAGGGGAACCUGGGGGUAGGACCAUUUAAGGUUGGCAUGCUUGCCUGUGAUUAUGGAAAUACUUACCAGUAGACUUUUCUCACGCUCAAGCGGACACCUUUCAAGAUGGGUAGAAAAAAAUAUAAGGGGGAAAGUAAGAAGACAUGACACCCAAAGUUAUCCACCUGCACCGGGAAGAGGACAGCGGGGACUGUUCCCAGGAGGGAUGUAUUCCCACAUCUCAGAAGGGUUCUGACAUCUAUUCCCCCUCUGAAGCCAGUUGCUGUCAUUCUGAAUAGAGACCUGAAAACAAAGCCUUGAAACUGUCCCUCUGUGCUGGUAGCCGUAUGGACAUCUGUGAUGGGAUUUGGUUGCUCAAUCAAACACACUUCAGUGUUGUUCUAGAUACUGAGAGGUUCAGGUCUGGUCUCCAGAUGCUGAAAUGAGUUGGGUUUCCCACAAGGCCAACUUCAUGUCUGCUAGCUCCAUGAGGAGCACAAACCAGUAGAUGGAUCAGACACUGGUAAAUGACCUUUAAAGCAGAGGGACAGAAGCUGGAUGGAUGGCAUUUCCUGCCUGGGCUGCAUACCCAUCAGUUUCAGGGCUGCCAGGUGUGCUUCAGCUUUGCUUCUGCUUCAUGUUGCUUCUCUCCACCCUGGACACUCUUUCUCAUACAAACAAUACUGCCCGAUGGACAUGUGGUUAAGAUAAAAUUGUGAUUUCUGCUCACAGACUGAAAAGCAAAGGUUUUGUCAAUAGAAGACUGAGAAUAUUAAGGGAAGAGUGAUGUGAAAGAGGGUAAACCAACUGAGAAGAAAAGUGUUUGGGUCUCACCUGUGUUGAAGAAACUGGAGCUAGCUCAGAGCAUGUCUCAUCUACACAGCUCCUGCCAUGCAAAGGCAGCAGAUGAGGCCCUGGAAGAAGAGCUGUGUGGUGACCUGGGUUGAGCAGCCUACUAAUUAGCCUGGACUUUCAGCAGGACUAAUUAUCUCUAAACUGAUACAGUACAAAUGCUUUUGGCUGUUGUAACAGUGUGGCUGGGGCCUCUGCAUGGUGUUGUAUUAUCCACUGCAGUCAAGGCCAGAAUCAGCAAGGAAAAUGUUGUGAUGGAGGUUACACAUUUGUGUGUGCUGACAACAGUGGCUGAGCAACUGGAAGUGAAUAUGGAAAGCAUAUGUAGCAGUUUCUUGAAAAUAAACACAUCUGC